GGGAGAGGCAAUGAGGAGGGAGCACCGUGCCAAGGGAGAGGCAAUGAGGGAGCACCGUGCCGAGGGAGAGUCAAUGAGGAGGGAGCGCUGUGCGCAUGAGGAACGGUAAGGGGAGAGCGCCGUGCUGUGGAGGGGCAACGAGACUGGAGUGCUGUGCUGCUGGAGGGCGGUACGGAGGAGAGCUGCAGUGGGAGGAGCGGAGGGGAGGGAACGCCGUGCCGCGAGAAGGGGCAGUGACGAAGGAGCGCGGCGUUACUUGAGGACGGCAGACAGGUGGCAGCACGCUGGAGCUAUUAUCUGAAAUGCAGGGCGGUGCGCCGAUCCUGGACUCGGCAGGAAGUUUCGAAAGGGGAAGAAGGAAGUGAGAAUUGUGGAGUCAUCAAGGUCGGAAGCAGGUCCUUCAGACUACCAUUGGCAACCGCCAUCCAAGAGCUCUUUGCAGUACACUGUCUCAACCCACCGCUGUCCAUAUGCUGGGGAAGGUGCACGAUUUACACAGGCUAAUUAACCAGCCUUGUUGGGAUGUGCCAGGAAACCAGAGACCUGUUUGGAGGCUGGGGGGAGGGGGGGGUCACAUGCAGACUCUGUCAGUCCCGUGUGUCAACCCGUGUGUCUUUGGUUAGAACACAAAACAGCUGGGGAACAGGCCCCUUGGCUCACCACGUUGUGCUGAACCAAUUAAACUAGUAGUUAAACACCUACACAAUGUCCACAUUCCUCCAUUCCUACACACUCGUGGCAUCAAAGGUUAUGGGGAGAAGGUUGGGGAAUGGAGCUGAGGAGGGGAAAAAGGAUGAAGGCCGAGCAGACAUGAUGGGCCAAAUUCUGCUCCUGUGUCUUAUGUUCUUAUAUUUAUUGUGUGUCUGAGCAUCUAAACUGCCCUAAUCAUCUCUGCCUCCAUCAGCACCUUGGCAGCACAUUCCAGGUACCCACCACUGUUGGUGCAAGAAAAACUGACCCUGCACGUCUCCUUUCAACUUUCCCCUCUCGCCUUAAAUACAUGCCCUCGGGUAUUAUGCAUUUUCACCUUCUAACUCUACCUCUAUCAGGUCUACCCUCAGCCUGUGCUGCUGCAGAGAAAACCACCCAAGUUUGUACAACUUCUCCUCACAGCCCUAGAGAUGGGGUUCAAUUCCAAACAUAUCCCUAUCCCUCCCUCCCUCUCUCCCUCUCACAAACACUGGGUGGUCUGUGGUCAGCAUGGAUGAGAUGGGCAGAAAGGCAUGUUUCUGCGCUGGAUCUCUGCGUUCUCAUCUCUUGGCUCACCAAGGGAACUCAAAUGCCCAGCAAAAAGGCACCAUGGAGCAAGAUGGAGUUGUCAAAGUGGCUUUGAAAGGCACGGACACAUCAUCCUGCCUCUGGUCUGCAGGAUACCGCAGGUCACCCCUCGAAGUCUCCGGCAAGGCAUGGGAGACUCAGGACACCAGGAGGAGAGAGGGGGGAACUCUGAUCAGCCGAGUCCCGAGGGGACAGGUGAAGCAGAAGUAGAUGAAAGAAACAAAAGGAGACCUUUCUCCCCAGCGGUAUGGAAACCGGACCCUCGGCCUGACGGCUUCCUGUGGCCAAGUGCAUAUGCUCUAAAGCACUGCCUUCUCACUUCUCUGCUGAUGGGAUCUUACUGUGCACAUUAGGGACGUGCAAGGGGUUGGCGGUGUACAAGCAACGUCAAAAGCCCAGGCCAGAUGCAGUGGAAGACCCUCAGGACCAGAAUGGACUCAGCUUCUGGCGAUGAUUGGUAUGGCAAUGUGAGAAUCUGGAGAGCUUUGGGAUCUGAGAACUCAGGCAUCCUCUCCCGCCAUCUGCUACUUUCCAAUCUCAGUGCUAUGAGUGUCCAGGCCCUUGGGAUUGACUCGUUGUCCUCUUACCAAAGGCUCUGACUGACGGCUCCUUUCGUUUCCUGUUCUCACUAACCCCUGACUUAUCCAUCCAGCUAUCCAGCUGCUUUGUGUUUCUUCUUUGACAGUGCACACAGAGGAACCGUUUGAUCUGUCUGCCUUAUGGAACUCUGAAGGCUGUCGGGAGUGCUUGUAUAAAAUCACCAGGGGCAAAGAUAACAUGGAUGGUCACAGUCUUUUUCCUCAGUGCAAGUGUGAUCAGCAGCUACAGGAAACGUUUGGUGCAGGUUAUUACUGCUAAAGGAGGUUUUACCACUUAUUGAAUACAAGGGUUCACAUGCUUUUUCCAGCCUGGACUGUGAAUGAUUGAACAACAUGUUCAAUAAAGACAUGAAAAGUACAAUUGUUUGUGUGUUAUUAGUUUAGGCAGAUUGUGUUUGUCUAUUAUAGUGACUUAGAAGAAGAUCGGAAUACAUUUUAUGAGUAAUUUAACGCGGAAAACCAGGUAAUUGCAAAGGGUUCACAAACUUUUUCUUGCACCUGUAAGCUUCUUACAGAGUGGUGCAUAUGUGAAAUACCCCAGCAGGGGUGGCGGUAGAGACAGAAACACUAGGGACAUCUAAGAAACUCUUAUACCAGCAGACAGAGGAUGGAAAUACAGAAGGGCUGUGUGGGAGGGAAGUGCUAGAUCUCAGAGUAGGUUAAAAGGUCAGCACAACAUCCUGGGCCGAAGGGUCUGUACUGUUCUACGUUAUGUACACCCACCAGCUCCUCCCGACCUCUAUCAAUGCCUAAAAAUAACUCAGAGGCUGAAUGCAUUUUCUCCCUGCCACAACAAUUCUGCCUCAGGAUGUUCCAAGCACUCUGUAAAUGACGAAUCCCACCCAGCAUUUUACCCAGAACUGACGUCAGGCUGACUGAGUUCACAGUUCCCCUACACUCCUCACCUCUCCUGUUACGUACGCUCCUGUCUAGACAACAGGGACAGUUUCACAACCCAGAGAAUUAUAGAAGAAAAUUGUUUUUAAAACUCUGCGAUGAGCGAUAUCAGGAACAGGACACUUGUUCCUGUUUUACCCCUUUGUAGUCAGUGGUAACAAUAAUUUCUUCAUUGCCUAUAACUCUUUUCCCAGUAAUUGGACAGGAAGUGACUAGACAUUCAGAUCUGUAAGAUUUUGCCUGAACUGUUUCUGCCCAAGCCACAUUUAUUUUUGCUUCUCCCUUGCGGUUAUUUUUAGUGACGGUCUUUGCCAUUGAACUGUACUUAGCUAAUCAAGGACUAUCCCUCACUACCGCGUGCAUUUUCUAAUUUUCCUUUGCCAAUACCUCGUGCUCCUCACCAACCAGGGGAGUGUCCACCCCUCAACAUCUGGCCUGUUCACCAGCAAUGUUCACACACAUCUGGGGAGCAAACCAUCACAGUCUACCCUCUCAACAUCUGGUACUGCGGACCAAGUGAGGCCCACCCUCAACAUCUGGGCUACCAACCAGUACGUUCCAAUCUCUCAACAUCUGGGCCGGCCACAGCUGUGCUGUGAGGACGUCAACCUCUGACAACGGUCAUAGGCCGUUAAUGGGUUAAGAAAGCCGACUCUGCAAUCCCCGAGUUCGAAUCCCGUCAGAGAUUAUGGAGAAACUUCAAACAGAUCUCACCCUCCCAGACUCAGGAC